rnacentral:lncRNA from 1 species
GCCACAGUUCUUCUUCACAUCUCACUGCGUAAAGUUGUCCCAAGGCUCUCAAGAUGCGUUCAGUUGGUUCGCCGCACGGCUGGGGUUCGUACUGGGCAUCUAAAGCUCCAAGUGGAAGUCCCACUGAAGAAAACGUUCAACGAAUGUCGAUAUCUGCGCCUAUUAAUUCCCCAGGCAAACCUUUGAAGCAGCUACUGCAAUCAGCUGCAUCCACAACCGAGAAGACUUGUUCCCAACGCAGCGCUCGAGGAUGGAAUAUUAAGAAGAGCUGAACAAAUCGACUCGGAUUGUUUUGGUAUAAAUUUUUUGAAGGAAUACUAUUUUUUGGUACUAUAUAAUAUAUUCUACUGAUAAAUAAUCAACCCACGUGAAUAUUCCAUACAUUUUUUGAAGGAAUAAUAUUUUUUGAGACUAAUAAAUAAUCAGCCCACGUGACUAUUUCCGUAUGUUCAUCAGUAUUUUCACCCUGAAAAUACAAUUUGAAUAUGCAAUAAACUUUCAUUGGCUAGAAUAAUUAAAAUGACCUCUUAAAUUUACGCAAGGCCAGUAGUAUUUGGUAUAUUAGGAAAAUUUCAAUUGGUGUCGUUUUAAUCAAAUUCGUUUUAAACUGAAGUGUGUUAAUAAAGCGGAAGAAAAUGUGUCUGUCUCUCUUAAUUGUGAGGGAUCGAUUUCGGUUCUUAAACGGCUGUUAAAGCCUAAAUGUAAAUGGCGUCUAAAGAUAAGAUUAAGUUAGAGAUAUUCCUUAGUUUUUCAGCGAAGGCUUUUCUGACAAACAAUGAUUAUUGAAGCCGUACAAGUUUUUAAUUUUAUAUAAAAUAAAUUUUAAAUUAAAUUAUUCCAAUCCAAAUUGAAGUAAUUAAAUCGAGAAAAGAUGCAUUCAACCUGAUAUAGUUUAUACGCCUAUUACAAAUUGCCGACAAUUUUAAUUUUGUUAUGCAUUACUUAAUCUCUGCUGUCAUCAGGCUGGGACGUUUCAAGCUUUAUCGUCAGCGUCUGCUUAUUUUUAGACUCCCUGUUGAGAUUGUCGAGUACAAAGGUUCAUUUUUCUGCUGGUAAAAUGAGAAAAAACAACAUGCUUGUAGAAUUUAAGUAUUUAUGCUGUCGAUGACUAAAAUAUAAAUUUAUUAGUCAUUCUAAUAUAUUUUCAUAAUUUUAUACCAACCGCAUUUUAUUGUAACUGUUGUUUUAGGCAAUACAUUAUUUUAACCACGUACUUUCAACAGUUUACGCUAAGAGUACAGUUUACAGUUUCAGGCCAACUGCAAAUGACUGAUUAUGCGUUAAAGAAUAAUUAGUAAAUAAAUUAACCCAUGUGCAAUUUUAAAAGAAUUAAAGUUAAGAAUAAAUAAUGUACGAACUCAUUUUUUCCUUGUCUGGUAGCCAUUUCAAUGGAGUUUUUUGGGAUGCAUUAAAAAAAGAUGAUUUUAAUUGCUGAGGGGAUAUCAUGAGUUUUAAAUUUUAUAGUCUCUGUGUGUUUGUUUGAAACCUGGUGCUGUGCAUCUGAAAAAUUUUGUAAGCAUUUAGUUGACGUUAGGAUUUAGACUCCUUCAUAAUCGUUCAGAUCGGUUAAAGCGGGUUUGCGUGUAAGUAAUACGCAUGGAACUUCUAUGUACACGUGACUUGUCAAAUAGCUAUCGACUUUUUAACCUUUUGUGUGUCAUACAGACUCAGUUUCUUCCGAAAACUGGGCGUAUCAGUGCUACGUGCGGAUGGUGUGUGUCAAUGUUUGGUCAAAAUGACUCAAUAAUAUUUCUGAGUGCAUGCAAAUUUAUAUAUCUGUGCGUUUGCGCAACAAAUGAACCUGGAAUUUUAUUGAACGUUGCGAUAUUAUAUUUUAAG